ensembl:lncRNA
GUUCACGGAGACACGGAACGUCAUUAGAGCGAGCGUGUGAGAGGCGGCGUGACACGUGAACUGAAAGGAAGAAAAGAAAAAAAAAAACCCCAACACACACCACUGCAUUUAAACUUUUUUAAUGUCCACCGAUUAACCCCAUACGGUACACGAGCUGUACCGUGGUGCUGUAUAAAACAGUGAAAAAAAAUAAAGACGUUCUUGUUACAAGAUACUUGCAGGAUAAAAUCCACUACUAGAUGAGGAAAUACUCGUGUUUGUGCAACGUGCACGACGUCUCCUACGGGAGAGCAUACCAUGCUUACAUACUGAGAGAAAUAUGGACAAUCCCAGCUCACACAUAGGUUCAUAAAAGCGACAGAAACAAUGCGUACGUUUAAAAGCUGGACGGAAAAAAAAAAAGACCAUAGAAACGGAAAACUUCUAAUUUUUUUUUUUUUAAAAACAACAUUUUUUACAAACAACUGAACAAAUACGCUCCUUAAAUUAGGUUGUAAUAGAUCACGGACCUCUUUGAUAGCCUGAGAUUCACUUAAAAGAGUUAAAAAGGUGCUGAUUAAGAGGUUCACACCUCCACAGAAUGCUGCUGAUGAUGUCUGACGCGCUGUGAUCAGAUCAGCUCUCGUCUGAUCAAGUCGCACGCGCCGAGUUUACAUCAAAUCUGUCGCCGUCUCUAUAACAAAGGGCGUGAUGCUUCUUAGAUAACUCACUAACGAGGUCAAUAACAGAGGAACACUUUAGUGAUUUCAUUCCCUGGCCUUUAGAAGAGAGAGACAGAGCGGGCGUGUCCGUUUGUGGCCUCGAUAGAGACCAGACCCAGAGUGGUGGCUACAAGGACGGCGACUUUCUCCCCCAGACAAGCGCACGUGUCCAGGAGGCAGCGCGUGCGUGCGCUCAGUGUCAUGGCCGCCGUGAUGAACUCGUAGUCCUCGCGUGUGACCGCCCGCCUCGCCCGCAACACGUCCAGCAGGUUGUUGAGUCGCCCCUCGGUCAUGAAGCGCACGAUGGCCUCACGUCUCUCCUGCAGGAGACGACAGCACGUCCAGCCGGAGGACGCGGGACACACGGCUAUGGAGAGGAGACGGAGAUUAAACACAUCAGAUUAGAUCAGAACAGACAGUCACGAGCUGCUUUUCGCAUCUGAGGAAAUAAUCAAGUUUAGUUAAAGUUAUUACCACACAAGGGGGUCACGCCAGAUACCGAACGCAAAGGUGCACAUACUUUUGCCACUCGAGGAUCAUUUUCCUCAAUAAAUAAACAACCAGGUAUAAUACUUUUGUCUCAUUUGUUUACUUCACUGAACUAGCCAAAAGAUAAUUAACACUUUUUAAAAUUCUAACACCCCGGGGACACACACAAUCAACAAUCAACAAAUUUCUCUCUCUCUCUCGCGCACACACACACACACACACACACACACACACACACAGCUUUUAAAAGUGUAAACGCGAAGGCUUAUCAAGAGAAAAACAGAGAAAGAGAAAAACAGUGACCCUCUCGGGAGGAAACGCCGUGCGCCCAGAUAAGGCAUCGACGUGGACGUUCUCUCACAUUCAGGAAGUUAGCCAACAACCUUGCAGAAGUGCUUACUGUGCACAAGUCAGAGCACUACACACACACACACACACACACACACACACACACACACACACACGGACUUCUCACCAUGUUUGUUAAGGGUUAUUUUGCCUCAGCUGCACUCAGGAGUUCCAGAACGUAAACAAACAGUCUUGACCUGGAAAUACGUACGUGGGUCGCACGCGUUACUGCGGCUCGGUGCUUCGGCGCAUUCAAAGCUGAGCCUCAGUUCAGAGUAAUCACUUUAUCAUCGGGGCCUGAGCGAGACGCGCACGUUCUAAUACCUUAUCGUUACCCGCGCUCAGAGGUACAGCUGUAACUUUAAGCUUUCCCGAGACAGGAGUUUACACUUCUUUACGGUAACAAGCUGUGUGUGAUUUUUUUGUGUCUUGUUAACUGAGAGAGAGAAGAGAGAGU